UACGUAGGGUGCAAGCGUUGUCCGGAAUUAUUGGGCGUAAAGAGCUCGUAGGCGGUUUGUUGCGUCGGCUGUGAAAUCCCGAGGCUCAACCUCGGGUCUGCAGUCGAUACGAGCAAACUAGAGUGUUGCAGGGGAGACUGGAAUUCCUGGUGUAGCGGUGAAAUGCGCAGAUAUCAGGAGGAACACCGGUGGCGAAGGCGGGUCUCUGGGCAGUUCCUGACGCUGAGGCGCGAAGGCCAGGGGAGCAAACGGG
rnacentral:rRNA from 1 species